AGCCCUUAUGUCAUCUAUUGCCAAUCUUACACAUGCAAGUAUCUGCACACCCGUGAAAACGCCCUCAACCCCUUAACCAAGGAAGAGGAGUUGGUAUCAGGCACAACCAAUAAGCCCACGACACCUAGCCACGCCACACCCACAAGGGUAUUCAGCAGUGAUAAACAUUGUUUAUAAGCGUCAGCUUGAAUCAGUUAAGGCAAAGAGGGCCGGCAAAUCCGGUGCCAGCCGCCGCGGCUACACCGUUAGGCCCAAGUUGACACACACCGGCGUUAAGCGUGAUUAGAGUGAUUACACAGAUUAGAGUUAAACCCAAAUUUAGUCGUGAUACACUUGUCCCCGGGAAACCCAAAAACGAAAGUUACUCUAACCAACCCACUUGACCCCACGACAGCUAAGACACAAACUGGGAUUAGGUACCCCACUAUGCCGAGCCGUAAAACAUAUACUCACCCCAACAAAUCGCCAGGGAAUUACGAGCCCAAGCUUAAAACCCAAAGGACUUGACGG
rnacentral:rRNA from 1 species